GUUUGGAAGGACGAUGCUUGUUUGGAAGGACGAUGCUUGUUUGGAAGGACGAUGCUUGUUUGGAAGGACCAACUGGAACUUUGAGGAUCACUGCCUAUUCUGAUGUGGGAGACGUGGAAUUCUGGUGACUUUCUGAUGUUGGGACAAGUGGAAUGAUUCUGGUGACUUUCUGGUGACUUUCUGAUGUUGGGAGAAGUGGAAUUCGCCAUCCUCGCUACCUGUGGAUGCCUGUAUCACCCGGAAACCUCGGAGACGUGAACAUGCACAAGAGACCCCUGGAUUGUGAAAGUGUACAGUUUGCAAGUGGAGUCGUUCGAUAGAUUGCUCGGAAUCGUCGGCAU
rnacentral:lncRNA from 1 species